rnacentral:snRNA from 1 species
UAUUGCUCACAGCUCUUUUUGAAUUUGUCUAGCAGGUCUUCUAUUUUUUUUACCGGAAGGCCCUC